AGUAAGUGAUAUUUCGGAACAGAAUCUAGUUCCUUCGAUACCAAGAAAAAAAUCAUAUUACAAGAUUACAUUGGUAUCGAAGGAACUAGAUUCUGUUCCGAAAUAUCACUUACUCG